CAGAGCUUGCUCUGUGGAUCAGUGGCGAACGGGUGAGUAACACGUGAGCAAUCUGCCCCUGACUCUGGGAUAAGCGCUGGAAACGGCGUCUAAUACCGGAUACGAGCUGCGACCGCAUGGUCAGUAGCUGGAAAGAAUUUCGGUCAGGGAUGAGCUCGCGGCCUAUCAGCUUGUUGGUGAGGUAAUGGCUCACCAAGGCGUCGACGGGUAGCCGGCCUGAGAGGGUGACCGGCCACACUGGGACUGAGACACGGCCCAGACUCCUACGGGAGGCAGCAGUGGGGAAUAUUGCACAAUGGGCGCAAGCCUGAUGCAGCAACGCCGCGUGAGGGAUGACGGCCUUCGGGUUGUAAACCUCUUUUAGCAGGGAAGAAGCGAAAGUGACGGUACCUGCAGAAAAAGCGCCGGCUAACUACGUGCCAGCAGCCGCGGUAAUACGUAGGGCGCAAGCGUUAUCCGGAAUUAUCGGGCGUAAAGAGCUCGUAGGCGGUCUGUCGCGUCUGCUGUGAAAACCCGAGGCUCAACCUCGGGCCUGCAGUGGGUACGGGCAGACUAGAGUGCGGUAGGGGAGAUUGGAAUUCCUGGUGUAGCGGUGGAAUGCGCAGAUAUCAGGAGGAACACCGAUGGCGAAGGCAGAUCUCUGGGCCGUAACUGACGCUGAGGAGCGAAAGGGUGGGGAGCAAACAGGCUUAGAUACCCUGGUAGUCCACCCCGUAAACGUUGGGAACUAGUUGUGGGGUCCAUUCCACGGAUUCCGUGACGCAGCUAACGCAUUAAGUUCCCCGCCUGGGGAGUACGGCCGCAAGGCUAAAACUCAAAGGAAUUGACGGGGACCCGCACAAGCGGCGGAGCAUGCGGAUUAAUUCGAUGCAACGCGAAGAACCUUACCAAGGCUUGACAUAUAGAGGAAACGUCUGGAAACAGUCGCCCCGCAAGGUCUCUAUACAGGUGGUGCAUGGUUGUCGUCAGCUCGUGUCGUGAGAUGUUGGGUUAAGUCCCGCAACGAGCGCAACCCUCGUUCUAUGUUGCCAGCACGUAAUGGUGGGAACUCAUGGGAUACUGCCGGGGUCAACUCGGAGGAAGGUGGGGAUGACGUCAAAUCAUCAUGCCCCUUAUGUCUUGGGCUUCACGCAUGCUACAAUGGCCGGUACAAAGGGCUGCAAUACCGUGAGGUGGAGCGAAUCCCAAAAAGCCGGUCCCAGUUCGGAUUGAGGUCUGCAACUCGACCUCAUGAAGUCGGAGUCGCUAGUAAUCGCAGAUCAGCAACGCUGCGGUGAAUACGUUCCCGGGUCUUGUACACACCGCCCGUCAAGUCAUGAAAGUCGGUAACACCUGAAGCCGGUGGCCCAACCCU
rnacentral:rRNA from 1 species